GCUGGGCGCGGUGGCUCACGCCUGUAAUCCCAGCUCUUUGGGAGGCUGAGGUGGGCGGAUCACCUGAGGUCAGGAGUUCAAGACAAGCCUGGCCAACAUGGUGAAAACCCGUCUCUA
rnacentral:SRP_RNA from 1 species